GGCCUUUUGGGAUAAUUUAAGGUCUAGCCUGCCCCCUGAGGAUUUAAAUGGCCGCGGUACUUUGACCGUGCUAAGGUAGCAUAAUCAUUAGUUUCUUAAUUAGAAGCUGGAAUGAAAGGUUGGAUAAAAAAAUAACUGUCUCUAAGUAAUUUUUAUUGAAUUUUAUUUUUAAGUAAAAAAGCUUAAAUUGAAUUAAAAGACGAGAAGACCCUAUAGAGUUUUAUUAAUAAGAAAAAUUAGAGUUUUAGAAAUAUUAGUUGGAUUUUUUGAGUUAAUUUAGUUGGGGUGAUUGGGAAAUUAAAAAAACUUUCUUUAAUUUAUAUCAAUAAUAAUUGUAUGUUUGAUCCAUUAAUUAUGAUUAAAAGAUUAAAUUACCUUAGGGAUAACAGCGUAAUUUUAUUUUAGAGUUCAAAUUAAAAAUAAAGUUUGCGACCUCGAUGUUGGAUUAAAAUUAACUUUUGGUGUAGAAGCUAAAAGGUUAGGUCUGUUCGACCUUUAAAAUUUUACAUGA
rnacentral:rRNA from 1 species